GAUGAACGCUGGCGGCGUGCCUAAUACAUGCAAGUCGAGCGAACAGACGAGGAGCUUGCUCCUCUGACGUUAGCGGCGGACGGGUGAGUAACACGUGGAUAACCUACCUAUAAGACUGGGAUAACUUCGGGAAACCGGAGCUAAUACCGGAUAAUAUAUUGAACCGCAUGGUUCAAUAGUGAAAGACGGUUUUGCUGUCACUUAUAGAUGGAUCCGCGCCGCAUUAGCUAGUUGGUAAGGUAACGGCUUACCAAGGCAACGAUGCGUAGCCGACCUGACAGAGUGACCGGCCACACUGGAACUGAGACACGGUCCAGACUCCUACGGGACGCCGCAGUCGGGAAUCUUCCGGCAUGGGCGAAAGCCUGGCGCAGCAACGCCGCGUGAGUGAUGAAGGUCUUCGGAUCGUAAAACUCUGUUAUUAGGGAAGAACAAAUGUGUAAGUAACUAAGCACGUCUUGACGGUACCUAAUCAGAAAGCCACGGCUAACUACGUG
rnacentral:rRNA from 1 species